CUGCAGCUGUGGUUGUUAUCAGUAGGCUACAGUUGAUCAGACUGAAGCACGGACUAAUUGUGCACGUUGACAAAUCAUAAGGGAACUUGUAUGACAUUUUUUGGGGUGGCGGUUAUGGGCUUCCAUAUAAAACAGCUUGUUGGGGUGAAUUCACAUACACCCACGUUUUCAGUCGCAAUUUGCUUUCAACACAUGUAAUGAUUUGCAUGAUAUUGAUAAAAAGUCUGGUCUUUUAUAACGGUGCAAGACCCAAACAGCGUUCCAUAGAAAUCCUGAUUGAGAAUGAAAGACAGAACAAAUGAACAACGAAACAGCACAGCAAGACAAUGACCGAACAAACCUCCAGGCUGUGCAAGGGCUAUUUGACCAAGAAGUAGAGUGAUGGAGUGCUACAUCAGAUGACCUAGCCUCCACAAUCACCUGACCUCAACCCAACUGAAAUGUUUUAGGAUUAGUUGGACCGCAGAGUGAAGGAAAAGCAGCCAGCAAGUGCUCAGCAUAUGUGGGAACAUCUUCAAGACUGUUGGAAAAGCAUUCCUCAUGAAGCUAGUUGAGAGAAUACCAAGAGUGUGCAAAACUGUCAUCAAGACAAAGGGUGGCUACUUUGAAGAAUCUAAAAUAUAUUUUGAUUUGUUUAACACUUUUUUGAUUAAUAUA